UUUUGGUUAUUUACAUUGUUUAUUUGAAAGGCAGGGAAAACCACAGAAGCAUGGUCAUUUCCCUCAUGAAAAUCCCUCUUUAAAUUAAAAUCCUUUGAAGUUUCUGUGUGUAAAAUUGUAGUGAUAUAAACUGCAAGUUGGAAAAUAAGAAAAUGGACAAAUAAGAAAAUCUUUGUUAGGUAUUAUCCCUGAAAAUGCACUGCACUGUGAAGCUUCCUUAUGAUUGUCCCAGACAGCCAAAAGCUGGGGUUGCAGAUGCAGGUUCAAUUAGUCACUGUGUUAUAAUUUGGAAAUUCUUUAGAAGGAAACUCUGAACACUCUGGGAAACCCUCAAAGCAACUUGUAUUAAAGAAGUUUUCAAUAAUUAGAUCAUUUGAUGUCUGUAAGUAAGGCUUUGUGACAUAGGGGGUGAAAAUGCACUAGAACUUUCAAUGAGUAAGUAGUCUUUUUUAUGUCUCAGGAAUGGCAUUUCUUUCCCAUCAACAUGAAUACAGGGAAGAAAAUAUUUUUCUGGCUGAGCAUCACACACGUGUUUUAGCCAAUGAGUUUCCUUCUAAGAGAUUUUGAGGGACUUACAACUGGCUUUUGUCCUCACUGCCUUUACUUAUGUGGGUGUAAACAUGUUGUUACUGCAUAAAAGGGAAUGUGAAUGUUACCUUAUAUUUGCUAGUCCCAUGACUGUCUAUAUGAUCUUGUGUUUGGUUUUUUGAUGCCACUGUGAGAAUGAGGCAUUUUUCUGAAGAGAAGAGUAAACAUACUUAUUUAAUUUUCAUGUGAAAACUGGAUAUUCAUCAAAAUAUUUUAUGUUUUGAUGCUUCUAUAUUCCUCCAAAAAAUUACACUAAAAGCUAUCACAAAAGGGAAAAAGAAAAUUUUACACUUGGCCUGUCCUGGAAAUCUGUAGACUGAUACUUUUUUCAAAAUGAAAUGGUAAUUGGAGCUGACACAUUUCACUUCCAAUGAAAUAGCAUUUCCUGAUACUGCACUGGAAGGCUCUAACCAGUACUAAUUGGGAAGCUCAUUUUGCAUGCAUGGGCAGGACACAGGCUUCACUGGAUGAAAUCACUGACCUGUGCUUUACUAGGAGUCAGACAUGAUCAGUGAUCCUGGUUAUAAAGUCUAUGAAAGAUGAUGAAUAAUGCCUUUCUUUUGAAUCAGUGAUAAUUUUUAAAAAAUAAUUCAGUCUUUGCAAAUUGUUUUCAGUCUUUACACAGAAAUUAAUGUUUUAUAGUCGCUUUCUGCUCUCUGUCCAUGUUGGGAAUCACGAGUCUCUGGGAGGCAGGUUGAGGAGGUUUCUUGAAAUGAGAUACAAGCCACUCUGGCUCCUUUGCAAAGAGGUGAAGAUGUUAAAAAGCAUGAUAGGUGUGGUAGUCAUGUGUGCCUCUAGGAGGGGAAGGGGCAGAGAAUAAGAGCAAGCUGCCCUGCUAGGCACUGGAUUGCUGUAAUCUCUGCAGAAUCUGGCCAAGUGUUACAGCUGCUAGGCAGGAGAUUUGCUCUUGCAUCCUACACUGACCAUGUGAAGGCUACUGGUGAUAAUUGCAGUGGAAAUAAUUAGGUUUUUCCUUUAAGAUUCUGCACAAAACUAGCUUAUGUUUGUGAGUUGGUGAUGGGAAGGAUUUCAAGUGCAGUUUCUCUGCAGUGAGUUGCCAUUUAGAGAGCACAGUGUGGGCUCUGGUUGGGAUUUUGUCAUGGGUGCUAAAAUUGCUGCAGGCUGUGCAAGGAAGACAGUUCACUGCUGUGGCCUUAAGUGGGGAGGAGCUCUGUGCUCCUCAGCUAUUCUCACAGUCACUCCUAUAUAGAGGAGGAAAACAUUUUUCAUAAUUUCACUAAAAGGUGGCUAAACUGACUAAACUCCAGAUCCAUGAAGAUUCAGAGCACCAAGCUCCCACCAAAACUGGAUGGGCUGGUCAGGCAUCUAUAAUGCUAUGAGGAGGUCAGCAAUAAGCAACAUGCUGAGAGGUAGUCUGUGAUGGAGCAGGACACUGAUCUAACAUAUCCUCAUCCUUACUUUAGUCUUCUCACUGGCUACAAUGGAAAUUGCUCUCCCAAACAAUUCCUGGACUGUUAAACUGCUUGAGCAUCUGAACUGGGUUGAACAUAUGUAUUAAUGACUCAUCUUCUGAUCUGUUCCUGAAGAAGCAGGAACUUUCCAGCACUCUCCAUUGGUCGAUUGGUUGCCUGACAGGGUCACCACUCUACACUGGGAAGAGCAGAAAAGCAGGGUAGAAAAUUCCAGCAACCCAUGUUUCCAUUUUAUUGGGAAAUUUGACCUUCACACUUCUUUUGGCAUCUAGUACCACCGUUUCUUUUCAUGCUUUAACUUGAGGCUAGAUUCUCAGCACAGUCCAGCUGAAGGGAAACAGCUGUUGGCUGAAGUCCUCUGGAAAGCACUCCCUUGAGCUCAAAUCUGACCAUUCUUGGCACGAGCUCCUGCAGACAACAGGUGACUCAUUUCGGUCUGGAAAGCGCAGCCGUAUCCUCCGCUGUCUCGUCAAUACUAUAGGCAAUUCAUAGAGCAAUUCCAGCUUUGCCUCCUCUCCUGCUAAUUGAAGAGAAGCUCCGUGCUUACCCUCUGCAAGACAGCCAAACCAAUCUGGAAUACACAUUAGAUCCAGAUUAUCCUUUUACUCUUUGGUUUAAAGUAACACACAAACAGCAAAUGAGCAAGGCCUCCCUGCCAAGAGAUUCAGUGUGUGAGUGAUGGCCACUUUAAAGGGAUACUGAAAUUAAUUAAUAGAUUAAAAUAUCACCACUGAGCAAGACUCCUUUUGGGUGAUUGUUGUAAUGCUCAAUAGAUUUGCAGUUCAGAAGUAUUGAGGAAAUUCAGAACCCACCUGAAACACUAAGGAAAUAGUGAAGAAGGCUUGAGGUGGGGUUUUUUGUAUCCCCAAUUGACCUAACUCCCACACUAGCUAUGUCUGACACUGGAGGCAAGAAGGACAAGCAUUUAUGUAUCCUGAUUUAUAACAGUGUUUUCCAAAGUGGCUUACUGAAAUUGUAAACAAUGUGUUCACACAGUAAGAGGGAGGAAAUGCCAAUAUAUUAAAAUCAGUGGGCCAAAUUGUAUGCUAUCCUGAGAGUACUUUUGGCCAGAGGAUGGAAGUGACCUGCGUUUGGCUGAACGGGAAUUGAUUCUCCUCCCUUGCUAUUUAUGCCAGCACAAAUGUGCAGCACAUUUGACGUCAGUGCACAGAGAACGGGCACGAGUACAAGGGCAAUUGGGCCCUUAAGGUUCUUGUUUGAUCACCCAUUGAGGCAAGGGGAAGCUGCACCUACGAGGUGCUUCGCCUCCUAAAACUUCUGCAGAAACUCCAUGUGGGGUCUCAGGUGCCCAUGACAGCACAGUCUUGAAAGGAGGGAGGAGAGAGUGAGGAAACUUGUCUCAGGCCUAUUUUGAAUAAAAGUCACCAUUGAACAUGAGCUGAGUUUGCCCCCAAAAAGUUCCUCUUUUCAUGGCAUUUUUCAGUUGGAAGAGUCAGAUUGAGUAUUUGGAUUGGCUUUUUGCCUUGGCUGUGUAAAUUCUCAGGGGUGGAGAAAAUGGUACUAAGCUAGUAAAUAUCCAAGAACUGGAAGAAAGUAGGUUGAAUUGUCAAAAUCUUUUUAAUCUCUUCUGAAAAAUAUUUCCUCUAGGAACACUUUCCCAUUUGGAA
ensembl:lncRNA